rnacentral:rRNA from 1 species
GACGAACGCUGGCGGCGUGCUUAACACAUGCAAGUCGUGCGGUAAGGCCCUUUCGGGGGUACACGAGCGGCGAACGGGUGAGUAACACGUGAGCAACCUGCCCUUCACUUUGGGAUAACUGCCGGAAACGGUGGCUAAUACCGGAUAUGACUUCCUCACGCAUGUGGGGUGGUGGAAAGCCUUCGGGUGGUGGGGGAUGGGCUCGCGGUCUAUCAGCUUGUUGGUGGGGGGAUGGCCUACCAAGGCUUCGACGGGUAGCCGACAUGAGAGGGAGACAGGCCGAAAUAGAACUGAGGGAAGGCCAAGAGUCGUACGGGAGACAGCGGUGGGAAAUAUUGGACAGUGAACAAAAGCCUGAGCCAGAAACGCCGGGAGAGGAAUGACGGCCUUCGGGUUGUAAACGUCUUUCACCUGCGACGAAGCGAUAGUGACGGUAGCAGGUAAAGAAGCACCGGCCAACUACGUG